rnacentral:pre_miRNA from 1 species
GGGGGGGCCGGAUCCUGGGCUGUGUCCCGGCGCCCUGUGCUCCGGGGUCUGCGCUGGAUUCGCGCUCCCGGGCCGUGCAACCCCCU